AGAGUUUGAUCAUGGCUCAGAAUGAACGCUGGCGGCAGGCCUAACACAUGCAAGUCGAACGGGUCCUUCGGGACUAGUGGCGGACGGGUGAGUAACGCGUGGGAACGUGCCCCUUGGUACGGAAUAGCCCUGGGAAACUGGGAGUAAUACCGUAUGUGGUCGAGAGACGAAAGAUUUAUCGCCAAGGGAUCGGCCCGCGUUGGAUUAGGUAGUUGGUGGGGUAAUGGCCUACCAAGCCGACGAUCCAUAGCUGGUUUGAGAGGAUGAUCAGCCACACUGGGACUGAGACACGGCCCAGACUCCUACGGGAGGCAGCAGUGGGGAAUCUUAGACAAUGGGGGAAACCCUGAUCUAGCCAUGCCGCGUGAUCGAUGAAGGCCUUAGGGUUGUAAAGAUCUUUCAGGUGGGAAGAUAAUGACUGUACCACCAGAAGAAGCCCCGGCUAACUCCGUG
rnacentral:rRNA from 1 species